GGUUGCCUGGGUGAAGAGACCAACCCCAUCCUGGCUACAGCCUCCCUUCAGUGUUGGCUGUAGGUGAUAUAACAGCAGCUGAACAAGAAAUCCUAGUCCAGUCCUUACAACCCACCUGGCAACAAGGACAAACUCCCAUCUUGAGAGGAUGAAGUGAAAAGAAUAUGUAAACAAAGAUCAGGAGUCAUACAUGAAAUCAGAGUAAUUGACAAAAGCCCCCAAACUGGCAGAACAUGAGGUGACUGUCAAAGCAGGGAGUAACAUAUUAGCAGUAAUAAAUAACCCAGAAAUCUCACUUCAUGGAAGCAAACCAAUGUAAACAUUAGAGACAGCCAAUGCUAAACACUAAUUAGAUAUAAUUGCAUUUUCAAAAUGAUUUGAUGGAUCAGAGAACCAUUUUCUGGCACUACUCUCCUGGACACCUGGGCA